AACGAACGCUGGCGGCAGGCUUAACACAUGCAAGUCGAACGAACCCUUCGGGGUUAGUGGCGCACGGGUGCGUAACGCGUGGGAAUCUGCCCUUUGCUUCGGAAUAACAGUUAGAAAUGACUGCUAAUACCGGAUGAUGUCUUCGGACCAAAGAUUUAUCGGCAAAGGAUGAGCCCGCGUAGGAUUAGGUAGUUGGUGGGGUAAAGGCCUACCAAGCCGACGAUCCUUAGCUGGUCUGAGAGGAUGAUCAGCCACACUGGGACUGAGACACGGCCCAGACUCCUACGGGAGGCAGCAGUGGGGAAUAUUGGACAAUGGACGCAAGUCUGAUCCAGCAAUGCCGCGUGAGUGAUGAAGGCCUUAGGGUUGUAAAGCUCUUUUACCAGGGAUGAUAAUGACAGUACCUGGAGAAUAAGCUCCGGCUAACUCCGUGCCAGCCGCCGCGGUAAUAC
rnacentral:rRNA from 1 species